GUACUUGUCUGCAGGCCCGAAGCAAUGAGGAAGUUCAACCAGCUGUCAUCUGGCCUGAACGAUGAGCAGACAAUCGAGAUCGUCACGACAUGGCAUGGUACUCAGAGGUGAAGAGUUUGCAUAAGACGGUCUGAUCUUCAUCUGAUGGAACUGUUUCACCUGCUCCACUGCCUCUGGCCAUUUUUUUUUCCACACCCACUCACUCACUACGAGGCCGCUCUGCCUUUCCCGCUUCUUCUGCGAUAACUCGCUGCAGAAGGUAGACGACGCUUUGGCAAGUUCGAACAUGAGCGCGCAGCAAUGGGAACGCGUGUGUGGGCUGCAAACAGAAGCGCUGAGUAGACAUACCAGAGUGGCGUGGGGCACCAAAGAGGAAAAAAAAAAAGCUGAAAGGAAAAACCUGACUUUCAUUUAACACCGACAGUUGAAGAUACCUCAACAAAAGGCAGGUAACACGACGCAAUGUAAACCUCCAGCAUACCAGGAUGUGGUCUCCUACGACUUCAAGAUCGACAGCAUGUGCGUGGGCGUUGUCGGUAAUCUCGCAAAUGCGGGGGAAUGCCCCCUUACGUUUCCUCAUAUUCAGGAGUGUCUAAUAUCUAAUGUCACAAGUAACAACUACCUGUAUUCCUCUUAAGAACGAACUUCAGUCAAUAUUAAAUCGCACUUGUCAUU